rnacentral:rRNA from 1 species
AGCCUGAACGCUGGCGGCGUGGCUAAGACAUGCAAGUCGAACGGAUAUAGCAAUAUAUCAGUGGCGGACGGGUGAGUAAUAAAUCGCUAAUGUACCCCGGAGCCAGGGAUAGCUGCCCGAAAGGGCAGGUAAUACCUGAUGAGACCACGAACAGGCAUCUGUUUGUGCUCAAAGCCGUAAGGCACUCUGGGAGCAGGCGAUUACGUAUCAGCUUGUUGGUGAGGUAACGGCUCACCAAGGCGACGACGCGUAGCUGGUCUGAGAGGACGGCCAGCCACAUUGGGACUGAGACACUGCCCAGACUCCUACGGGGGGCUGCAGUAACGAAUCUUCCGCAAUGCACGAAAGUGUGACGGAGCGACGCCGCGUGUAGGAUGAAGUCCUUCGGGAUGUAAACUACUGUCAGGGGAAGAAGUUCUAGAUCUACCCAGAGGAAGAGACGGCUAACUCUGCGCCAGCAGCCGCGGUAAU